rnacentral:miRNA from 1 species
ACCACCUUCAGCUGAGUGUAGUGCCCUACUUGAGAGGGUGUCAUUCACAUAGACUGGAGCAUGAUUGUCACCUUUUUGAGUAGAGUAAUGCAUAUUAUAUACAAUAUAUGUGGUGGC